rnacentral:rRNA from 1 species
AUUGAACGCUGGCGGCAGGCCUAACACAUGCAAGUCGAGCGAGCGGCGGACGGGUGAGUAAUGUAUGGGGACUGCCCGGUAGCGGGGGAUAACUACUGGAAACGGUGGCUAAUACCGCAUACUAUCGGAUGACCCAUAUGGGAUUAGCUAGUAGGUGGGGUAAAGGCUCACCUAGGCGACGAUCCCUAGCUGGUCUGAGAGGAUGACCACCCACACUGGGACUGAGCAACGGCCCAGACUCCUACGGAGGCAGCAGUGGGGAAUAUUGCACAAUGGGCGAAAGCCUGAUGCAGCCAUGCCGCGUGUAUGAGGAAGGCCUUAGGGUUGUAAAGUACUUUCAGCGGGGAGGCGGUACCCGCAGAAGAAGCACCGGCUAACUACGUGCCAGCAGCCGCGGUAAUAC